rnacentral:lncRNA from 10 species
AGGUGCAGGAAGAACCAACCCAGUGGUCUCCUGACAUCUCCCACGCCCCCACCGCAGCUGGGUCACCUCCAGAAUACGGAGGAGAGAGCUGGAGGUGGAGGAACUAAGGACCUUCUUUGCCAGGUGGGGACUUAAAGCAUACAGUGAAGUUGUUCUCUGAAGUUCCUCAUCUGCCUUAAGUCUGGACCCACCAAAGAAGAAAACAAUGACCACUGGUCCCUUCCCGGAGUUUUCUCUGACUGAACUGCUGUCACAGGAAGAAAGACUGAAGCCUGCUCACAUACCUGGACAGAUUUUGCAAACCGUUGUCUGCUCUGUGAGCCCAACAGACUUUGUCCCAGGCCACUGUAUGUUCUUCAAGCCCACUGAAUUCCCCUGAAAAUCAUUUACUAGCCCCCUGAAAUUACCCACACUUCCCCAUUGCUCAUCUGUACCCCAUUUCGUGGUGGGGCAGUCACUCUGAUUUCCCCUUGCAUGCUAAUGAAUGUGUAUUCCAUUUCUA